AAUAUUGGCCAAUGGGCGAAAGCCUGAUCCAGCCACGCCGCGUGUGUGAAUAAGGUCUACGGAUUGUAAAGCACUUUAAGUUGGGAGGAAGGGGUUGAAGCUAAUACAUUCAAUCUUUGACGUUACCAACAGAAUAAGUACCGGCUAACUUCGUGCCAGCAGCUGCGGUAAUACGAAGGGUGCAAGCGUUAAUCGGAAUUACUGGGCGUAAAGCGCGCGUAGGUGGUUCGUUAAGUUGGAAGUGAAAGCCCCGGGCUCAACCUGGGAACUGCUUUCAAAACUGGCAAGCUAGAGUAUGGCAGAGGGUGGUGGAAGUUCCUGUGUAGCGGUGAAAUGCGUAGAUAUAGGAAGGAACACCAGUGGCGAAGGCGACCACCUGGGCUAAUACUGACACUGAGGUGCGAAAGCGUGGGGAGCAAACAGG
rnacentral:rRNA from 1 species